rnacentral:rRNA from 1 species
AAUCAACGCUGGCGGCGUGCCUCAGACAUGCAAGUCGAACGAUUAAACUUUCCUUCGGGAAAGAUAUAAAGUGGCGCACGGGUGAGUAACACGUAAGUAAUCUACCUUCGAGUGGGAAGUAACGUUCGGAACGAACGCUAUACCGCAUAAUGCAGCGGCACCUAAUGGUGACAGUUGUUAAAGGAAGCAAUUCGCUUGAAGAGGA